AUCCAGUCCCUGCUACCCCGUGUGAAGCGGCGCGUCGUGUGCAAAAGCCCGCAAGUUUCCUGAUGGUUAUUGCUGAAGGAUGUCUGGAAAUCAUAAUAAGAAUGACAAGGGCUGGUCUAAUCAUACCACUGGUUAUUGAUAAGCUGAGGCCGGCACAAAACACCCAACCCCGCUGGACCGCAGAGGCUCAGCUCCUCCCACCACCUGCAGAGUCAGCUGACAGGUGCCUUCUUGCCUCCCCCGCAGCUGCUCAAGGACUAAGAGAUACAACCUGGAAGAGUGAGGGCCUUGAUGCCCCCGGAGGCAAACGCUAAUCCUGAGAGACAGGAGGUGAAAGGAACUAGCAGACAAGUCUCUCCCUUCCUCCCUCUGAUGAAUGGCUUGAGACUGGCUUAUUCUUUGUGACCUGCUCGAAGCAUCUCACAAGGCUGAUCAAGCAGCUGGGUCUCUUGGUGAAGCUGUGGCCAGCUUGCUAGUUCGAUAUUUUAUAUUUGCUUCCCUCCUUUGCUGCCUUGCUUCCACUUCCCUUCACGCUGGCUGCCCUGAGAAUGUACCUGAACUAAAGCAUUUACCCUUUGUCUCAGGCUCUCUUUUCUAAAGAACCAGAGACCAAGGCAUUAAACCUGUUUCUGCAGGGUCUUCUGAGGGCCAGAUUUCCGUGGAGCUCUCAUUGGGAAAUGCCGGCUUAAAGGACAACUUCUUUGGUGGAAUAGAAACCUAGUCUUGUCAUCACUGUCAGCUUCCUGCCACACACUUCCUACCAGGCCUUCUGUCGGUCCACCCUGAACUCUCUGGGAAAAAAACGUUGAAUUGAAACCCCAGCCUGUUUGGUAAUAACUGGAAGAAAGCGCUGUGCAUUUAUUAAAACAACAUAUAACACAAA